rnacentral:rRNA from 1 species
GAUGAACGCUGGCGGCGUGCCUAAUACAUGCAAGCCGAGCGAACGGACGAGAAGCUUGCUUCUCUGAUGUUAGCGGCGGACGGGUGAGUAACACGUGGAUAACCUACCUAUAAGACUGGGAUAACUUCGGGAAACCGGAGCUAAUACCGGAUGAUAUUUUGAACCGCAUGGUUCAAAAGUGAAAGACGGUCUUGCUGUCACUUAUAGAUGGAUCCGCGCUGCAUUAGCUAGUUGGUAAGGUAACGGCUUACCAAGGCAACGAUGCAUAGCCGACCUGAGAGGGUGAUCGGCCACACUGGAACUGAGACACGGUCCAGACUCCUACGGGAGGCAGCAGUAGGGAAUCUUCCGCAAUGGGCGAAAGCCUGACGGAGCAACGCCGCGUGAGUGAUGAAGGUCUUCGGAUCGUAAAACUCUGUUAUUAGGGAAGAACAUAUGUGUAAGUAACUGUGCACAUCUUGACGGUACCUAAUCAGAAAGCCACGGCUAACUACGUGCCAGCAGCCGCGGUAAUACGUAGGUGGCAAGCGUUAUCCGGAAUUAUUGGGCGUAAAGCGCGCGUAGGCGGUUUUUUAAGUCUGAUGUGAAAGCCCACGGCUCAACCGUGGAGGGUCAUUGGAAACUGGAAAACUUGAGUGCAGAAGAGGAAAGUGGAAUUCCAUGUGUAGCGGUGAAAUGCGCAGAGAUAUGGAGGAACACCAGUGGCGAAGGCGACUUUCUGGUCUGUAACUGACGCUGAUGUGCGAAAGCGUGGGGAUCAAACAGGAUUAGAUACCCUGGUAGUCCACGCCGUAAACGAUGAGUGCUAAGUGUUAGGGGGUUUCCGCCCCUUAGUGCUGCAGCUAACGCAUUAAGCACUCCGCCUGGGGAGUACGACCGCAAGGUUGAAACUCAAAGGAAUUGACGGGGACCCGCACAAGCGGUGGAGCAUGUGGUUUAAUUCGAAGCAACGCGAAGAACCUUACCAAAUCUUGACAUCCUUUGACAACUCUAGAGAUAGAGCCUUCCCCUUCGGGGGACAAAGUGACAGGUGGUGCAUGGUUGUCGUCAGCUCGUGUCGUGAGAUGUUGGGUUAAGUCCCGCAACGAGCGCAACCCUUAAGCUUAGUUGCCAUCAUUAAGUUGGGCACUCUAAGUUGACUGCCGGUGACAAACCGGAGGAAGGUGGGGAUGACGUCAAAUCAUCAUGCCCCUUAUGAUUUGGGCUACACACGUGCUACAAUGGACAAUACAAAGGGCAGCGAAACCGCGAGGUCAAGCAAAUCCCAUAAAGUUGUUCUCAGUUCGGAUCGUAGUCUGCAACUCGACUACAUGAAGCUGGAAUCGCUAGUAAUCGUAGAUCAGCAUGCUACGGUGAAUACGUUCCCGGGUCU